rnacentral:lncRNA from 1 species
AGAGGACCGAGCAGUUCACGAUGUGAGGGCAGAUGAGACCGCAGCCGACAUAAGUGGGACUGAAGUCAAAGUAAAACCUGCGCAUUAAACAGUCACGAAGGUGAAGUACUCGACAACAUUCAUCGAUUUAUUUCAGGAUUCUGUGGUGACAUGAUGGCGCAUGAUUUUUUAUUUUUUUGUGGAUAAUGCCUAUUUUGGGCUUCAUUGUCGACCUGACUAGACGUACGUUAAGCAAUAUUUGUAAACAUAGCAAGAAGUUAAUUCGCCGAAUUCUCAUAUGAAUGAACUAUGUUUUCCAGAAGAAAUUAUGAGAGUCUCCGGUAUUCAAAUAAAGGGUACUAUGCGUUUAUCAUCCAUAUUCUUGCAUAUUAGAUGAUUGUUAACGUUAAACCCUGGCAACAUCAUGCUCGCUUUCAUGCAUGUCGCACCAAUGAAGUAUGAAAUAUCACACUUUUGGAUGCAGGUGCGUAUCAAAUAAGAAAUGGAACAAGAAAAGAAGAUUAGGAGCAGGAGAGAGUUACGUGUUCUUGUAAGCUACGAGCCCAAGGGUUGGGAAAUUAUCGAAACCACAUGAAUCCCCAAUUCCGCUGAAAAACCAUUUGAAACAGCUCCAGAAGAAGCUUAUGCUCAGGUACUUUCCGAGGUACUGGACUUGCUUCCUGUAAGUAGCAGAGCAUGGCCCAUUAGUGAUACGAAUUUAGCACUACAAUUGCCCAGUCAGGAGAGUUGCAACAUCUGACAUAGCAUAGAAAGCAGAGAAUUUUGACAAAGUCCUUCAGAAUAUCAUUUAAAGUUAAGGUUUUUUGCUUCAUGGUGUCUGAUAUUUAACCUCAGAGAUAUUGUUUCAGGGUAUGAUGGUCGGUCAAUUUCAUCCCUCCAAUCCAGUUCUGAUCUGUUUAAGGAAGUCACGGACCCCUGAAUCCCUCAAGGAUUGUUAGCCGAAUGCUUCUGUUUCUUCAGGUGCCCUGUUGAUUAAUUCUCAAUCACAAUUAUGGCAUCUGUUCAUUUAAUAAUAUAGAUAUUUCGACUCGUUUACUGGUUUCUUAUUUUUCGUUGUUCUUUUUGUUUUAUCUUCUGACAGUUCAUUCCUACACAUAGGUCAACACAAGUGUUCCAAUUUAUUGUGCUCAAUCUUUUUUAGUACUUUUUUUUUCCAUUCAGCUCGUCAUAUUUGCCUCCUUUUCUAGAUUCUGAAAGGUACGGAACUAUAAUUUUCAAGCAGCUUUCAAGAUAAUGCACCCACAGAGAAAAAAGGUUAGUGAUGGAUCCUCAGAAAUUAAAUUAUAAUUUUUUUUUCUUCUGAAUGUAUGAAGCGUUAGAAUGAGGCAGCGGGAGUUCUCCAAGUGUAUCAUUACCCUGCGCGUUCUGCUCCCGUGUUCGUAUGAAAACUAUUAAUCAGCAAUGCAGUAGCUGUCCCACUGGGGUAUGUAAGUUUAUAGUCAAUGACCAUAACCUGGAUAAGAAAAAAAAAGGAAAAAAAACGUAUAAGCAUCCGAAAUUGAGAUCAUUCGUGAGCAGAACCAUUUAAGAAAAUAAACUACGUUGAUCCUUCAUUCGAACAAUACUAGGAUUGUUUUCUAUAUUUCACAAACCGGCCCUUUAUUCCCUCACAUCUGGCUACGCUGUUGUCGUUCCAUCCUCUUCAUUACUCUCAAUAUUCCACCAUUAUUCCCUACAAUAGUCACAAUAUUUUCUGAUUUUAUAUUUUUUUUUUGGUGGUUCAUCAGAUUUCCAGGGGGCAUACGGGGAUAGUUUUUCGGAGAAAUAAAUUCAUGUCUCAGAGCAAGAGGAAACGAACCCACUCUCAUUGCAAUAUGUAUAUUCCUCACCUCUGUUUUAACCUCUAGAGUCACAUAAUCUGACAUAAUUUCCAUGAGCAAUGAGAGGGCCAAAAGUUUGGAGGAUUUUAAGUUGCAUUUAUCGCCACAGAUCUUGAUCUCUUAGUUGAUUAUUGACAUCAGAAUGCAGGCAGAUGAAUAAGUGGCGAUCGAGCACCUUGCGCAGAGGAACGAGGCUGAAGAGCCCUAGAAAACUGACGACGAACAUGAAACCGAUCAUCCAACCCAGCGACGGAUUCUUGACGUCUUCCGCCCUGUUGCCUGGGUAGUCGGCGCCUAUGAGUUCAUACGUCCUCUGAUCCAUGGCAAUCAUGUACGAUCCGAAGCCACCUGAACGAAGAACUCGGUUCAGGAACCGGUCUAGAGAGUGAAACAAAUCCAUUACCGGCGGUCUGAUUCUUUCCUUUUCAGGUGAAAACCGGUGGGGGACUCCCCGAGAGAUUCUAAUGGGCAUCCAAAUCGAGAUCGUGGCCCCCGAGCAAGACUGGGAGGACGGCGCGGGCAGAAAUGGCAAUUACCGCUGAAGGCGAGGCCGUAGCAGGCCACGACGCAGGUCUGGAUGACGGUGUUCUCCUGCGGCGUGAACGGGACGGUCCAGAUGCCGAGCUUGGAGAGCAACCC